UUUUAUGUCCCCAGCAUUUCUGACUUCUGUUUUGAAAUUCUUGUCUUUAAUUUCUCCCUCCGUCCGCAAGCGCUCAAAAACUCUAACCCGCUCCAUUGCUAAUCCACAGUCCAAACCUCCCUGACCUCAUGGAUUCCCUUCAAGCCACCUACGAAGACGAAGACGAAGAAGAAGACGAAGAACAACAACAAACCAACAAUAGCGCCACCAACCACAACCCUUCUCCUCCUCCCGCCAUCAGUCCCAUUGAUCUCGAGGAACGCCAAAACGGCACAGACCCACCUCAAAACGACGCUGAAACAACUCCAAUUGACAACACAACUUCCAACCAACAACCUCAAGGAGAGGACCCCUUUGCACCAGCCUCCGAAUACCUCUCCGAAUCAGACCACCCGACAACCUCAAACGACAACGAGAAGCCCACGACCAAAUCUCCCAAAAUUGAAGACACCGAAAUCGAAGACAUUGAAGACGAUGGAGGUGAAGAAGACCCACCUCCUAAAAAACAAAAACAACUCUCCUCUUUCACACAAAGCCAAGAACCAGCAGAACCUACGACAAUAGCAGAAAUCUUAAACAACGACAACAACAAUGGUGCCAACGAAUUCAAGAAACCAACCAAAAUCACCCCAACAACAACAACAACAAAAAAGAAGUCGAAGAAAAAGAACAACAAUAAUGUCUGGGCCACAAGAUCCCCACGCAAAGGCAAGAAAAAAACAAAACAAAACCCACAAAACACACCAUCAGAAGACACUGUUUUGAUCUCUCCAGUCCCAAGAUUCCCUGACAAAAGCGACGACACCUCGGCCUUAAAAAUCUGCCUGUCUAGAGUAUAUAAAGCAGAGAAAGCCGAAUUGAGCGAAGAUAGGAUGAGUGCAGGGAGUACUAAAGGGUAUAGAAUGGUGAGAGCUACAAGAGGGGUAUGUGAAGGAGCUUGGUAUUUUGAAAUUAAAGUGGUUAGUUUAGGAGAAACCGGCCACACACGACUUGGGUGGUCUACGGAGAAAGGGGAUUUGCAGGCGCCGGUUGGGUAUGAUGGGAAUAGUUUUGGGUACAGAGAUAUUGAUGGUAGUAAAGUGCACAAGGCAUUGAGGGAGAAGUAUGGCGAGGAAGGUUAUAAGGAAGGGGAUGUUGUUGGGUUUUAUAUUAACUUGCCGGAGGGGCAGUUGUAUACUCCUAAACCUGCUCAUUUGGUUUGGUAUAAAGGACAGAGGUAUGUUUGUGCUGCUGAUGAUAAGGAAGAUCCUCCCAAGAUUGUUCCUGGAAGUGAGAUAUCUUUCUUCAAAAAUGGAGUCUGUCAAGGUGUUGCUUUUAAGGAUUUAUUUGGUGGUCGUUACUACCCUGCUGCUUCAAUGUACACUUUCCCCAGUCAGCCAAAUUGUGUGGUGAAGUUCAACUUUGGCCCCAACUUUGAAUGCUUUCCAGAGGAUUUUGGAGGACGUCCAGUUCCCAAGCCCAUGAUUGAUGUUCCUUACCAUGGGUUUGAUAAUCGUUCUGAAAAUGGUGUCACCAAGGAGAAGAAACAUUAGCCUGUAACUUCCUAACCAUCUGUGGAGUUGGGAGGGAAAAAAGAAGAAGAGAGAGAUGAUAUUUGCUUGUGAGAUGCAAUUAUAUUUCAUGAGCACGAUGGCACCUUAGUUGUUUCUUGUGAAUAUUUGAUACCCUCACAGAAUUCCUAUUUACAAGCUAGAUGUUUCAGAAACCAUGGCUUAAGGCUUAUGCAUCAUACAAGUUUCUAUUUAGCGUGCUGUCCCCAAGUCACUGUGUUUUCAGUCAGUUCCUUUGUCGUAGUUGGAAGAUGGUGAGCAUGUUUCAACUUUGUUCUUUGCCAGAGAUGGGCAGUUUAGAUUGUCGGUCUUUUUAGUUGAUUAUAUAUAAAAAAAAAAAACUGAAAGGUUUGAUGUAUUCACCGUGCAUCACGAGACAUUUAUACUGUGGCUCGCACGGUAGACUCUCAAUUUAUCUGAUAUCAUUUUUGUUGUCUUUCUUUGUGAUGUUGGGGGUUGCAUAUCAGCUCUCUCUUUUGUGUAUUUCAUUGGUGGCUGACUGUGGUCGUUGGGGGAGAACCUUUGUUGGGUAUGGACCUGCAGCCAGGCAGUUCGCUUACAAUUAUGCUGUUGUUACAGGUUGUAAUUUAUAUAUAUUAUUUUGAAGUGCAUAGAUAGAUAAAUGGACCGACUGAUGCAUGUUACUCUUGAUUUUACCUUAGAAUGGUUUGUGUAACAUGAAAGGUUCAGGUUCAAAGAUGGUGACAGCUACAACUAGUAAUUGCCAAUAUGCACAAUCAUACUUUACUUCGGACUACAUACUGGAAAUUAGGCUCAUGAUUACAGCCGGCAACCUUCUCGUGAGAAUUCAACUUUAAUCUUUCAUGUGGGCACAUUCAACAGCAUGGGAAAAGGCUGGGUUUGAGCACUGCGGCCGUGUGUGUGUCAUGUGAGCCUAGUAGGGAACUGGAGAGCUGAGACCCUCUUGCGAAGACAA